AGGCCUGGCCAGCCUGAGUCCUGUCCUGACUCUGCUAACAAGGGUCUUAGGUAAAGGAGCAGGUCUGGGGCCCUUCCCUUCCUGUCCAGAACCCCGGCACUGGCUGGGGCCUAUUGCCAAUCAGGCCUGGGAGAUGACAUAGGGACAUUGACAAAGCAUAUGCCAAGGGCUGCAGGGGGACUGCUAGAGAGGGGGCGGGAGCGCCUAAGGUUUUACCCUUCCUAUAUCACCCUGGCACUCCAGAGGGCCACCUUGCCCCAGAUGCAUUAGUCUCUGGUUUGGGAUACACCUGGGAGUAAGAGAGACAGGCAGACCGACCAACUCUGUCAGGGUGGGGUCUAGUGAGGGAGAGAUAACCAGAGUCGCAGAACUGCUAUGGAGAUAAGGCUGAGAAUGGGGCGGCCGCGGAGCUGAGUGGCCACGAAACGGAGAAGGGUCCAGGAGGAAGAGAUCAGUACAGUGAGGGUGAGCGACCAGGACGAGGUUCAGCAGCCUGAGUGACCGGCCUGACCCCUGGACAAAGCAGAUGCAGGUGGGAUGUAGAGAGCACGGAAGUGGUCUGCAGCACAAAGGGCUCCUUGCCUGUGGGAGGCAGCCAGUGAGCUGACCCUUGAGAGACACCAUAUGAACAUGUGACCUUGGAGAGGAACCCCACACAACCCCAAGGAAGACAAGCAUUCCUACACUGAAUGGUUGUAAGUUCAAAGCCAGCUUGGUCAUUUCCCGGACAAUCUGAUACACAUAGACUUUCAGGGCUGCAAAGGAAGCCUAGGAAGACUCUGUCUCAUGAAACCAAUAUACAUAUGAUAUGAUAUAGGUGAGUAAGUACAUGAAUGUGCAUGCGUGCUUGUGGGUGUGUGUUUGUAUCAUACAUAUAACAUGAAGCUUGCUCCUAGGUUUUCUUCUGUUUUAUGGUUUUAGUUCUUUCUUGUAAUAGGUUUGUGACUCACUUUGCUUGUUAUGUUUUUAGCAUAUUAUGCAGCAAGACAGUGGUUGCUCUACUAUCUCUUGUAACUUUGGAGAUAAGCACAGAUGCCCUUCCACCACGUGUGCCAGUGUGAUGUAAGGAGCAGCACAGGUGACAGGGUCCCGGGCACUGCUAACACUGUCCACAUUCUUCAAUUGCUCUCCCACAUUCAUGGCCUCCUGAAUUCUUUCCGUUCAGCUCAGAUUUUAAAAUCUAGCUAAAACUUUCAGUUUCUAAGUUUUUUUUCUGUUGUUCUCGUUUUUGUUUUUUCUUUUCUUUUCUUUUCUUUUCUUUUCUUUUCUUUUCUUUUUUUUCGGUUUUUUUGAGACAGGGUUUCUCUGUAUAGCCCUGGCUGUCCUGGAACACACUUUGUAGACCAGGCUGGCCUCCAACUCAGAAAUCCACCUGCCUCUGCCUCCAGAGUGCUGGGAUUAAAGGCUCCAGGUCUCUGUUUUCUUGCCUCCUGCUGGCCCUAGCCAUUGUCUGUAUCCAUCUUUGUAGAAGCUAUUCCUGGCCUACUUGGAUGUUCUAAUAAUGAAUCAUGUAAAAUCAUAAUAAAGUAUCAACAUGAGCCAUCAA